UUGGAAUUGGUUUCUCGCUAAUCAUGGGUCUUUUUCCUUGGCCAGCUGAAUGUGAACCCCUUCCACAGUGGUGGUUCCUGCCUCUGUGUCUUCUCCACAGCACCCAGAUAAAAUACUUGCACAAUGUUUUUGGAGCAGUUAAAUGUUAGCACUGAUUAGAUGAUAGCAUAGCAUUUCUCAUAGAGAUCACCCAAAGCUUGGUAAAAUUGUUCUUCCUGGGCCUCACCUCUGUGCCUGUUGCUAUGCUGAGGCUUCAUCCUGUCAGGCAUUCGGACUCCCGAGGAGUCUUGAGCUUUGGGAUUUGGCUGGCUGUGCUGUCUCUCUCCGCCUCUAGGCCAGGUGGUACCUGCAUCCCCCAACUUAACGGGCCCAUCUAUCACCCCAUCUUGCAGUGUGGAGCCUCGAGUUCUCCAAAUGCCCGGAUCGCAGCUGUCACUGAGCAGUUGCAUCUGUUACACAGUAAAGGAGUCCUAGAGAAGUGCUGCCAAGGGGAACUCAUAAAAAAGCCGCUGCUGGAGACUCAGAUGUGCCCUGCUGAGCGAGGCAGUCUCCCCCUACUUACCGUGCUGCAGUGAGCCGCAGUCACCCGCGGGGGAGUUGAAGAAUAAGUUGAAUAUGGUUGAACAAGGUGGCAUCAUACUGCUCAGCCAUCUCUGGGGUUAACUGCAGAUGAGAUAAUUCCUGUAUAACUCCUGGAUCCUCUAGGGCAUUCUGCCACUGUAUCCACACUUCAUGGUACAAGGGCGAAUGGACAGAUCUCCAGCUUCCAAGUGAAACGUGAAGGCAACUCGACAAGGAUUUCUGUUAGGGCAAUAGUUUUGCUUCAUGAAGACUAGGAAGGCUUGAACUCAGGACAAUGGGUAUCUUGAAUUUACUCAGUUCCCAUCUCUUAAGUUAUUAAACAUUAUUUCCCACCUGUCUUGUGUAUUUUUGCUUGAUCCCUAUAAUAUGGGGGCAGGCAUAAUUUUGUAUAACCCCUGUAAGACGUGUGCCAGGUACAAUUGGCCCUAUUUCCUAUGUGGGGAAACUGAGACUCAGAGCAGAGAAGCGACUCUCCUAAGUCACACGUUGUAUUGCUGGCAGAGUCUCGGGUGGGAGUCCUGCCUCCUGAUUUCCAGGUACAUGCUGCUUUUGCUAGAACCAAUCUAUUAAAGAACCAAGACUCUUUAUUUGGAAUUAAUGAGGGAUUCCAAAAAUAGUGUUAGCAGUGCUUAACAAAUUUGGAAGAGCAAAGGAACUGAAGCCAGAGAAGACUGAGAUAGGGGAGCUGUUUCAUUGUAUCAAUUUCUAUUCACUUUAUUAAUAAUUGAUGCCACAUUUACUCAUUGUUAUAUAUUAAAAAUACUUGAUUUGCUACAAGGUAAAAAUGACCCAUUGACUUUGUCUCUCGACCUACGCUAACCCUAAAUGAGAAUCUCAUUGUGACCACGAUUUUGCAAAAUUGAUUAAAUGGAAAUAAAUGCAUUCAAGUGUCAAAGGCUGCAUUGGGAAUGGUUGCUAAUGAGCUUGACCUUUCAGAGCUUCCUGGCUGGGUGCACAGUAGGUGUUCAAUGAGUACUGAUGGAUGUCUUGACUGACUGAGAUUUCGGUUAGCCUUCCAUCCCUGGGAGCAUGGUGCUGUAAUGUGUUAGAUGGCAUCAUGUUCCAAAAAUGAAUCAAUCUAUAAAUUUGAAGACUAAUUUGGAAACAUUUUAACCUUACUAAACAGAAUAGUAUGAUAAAACCUAGGUACCCUACGCCAGCUUCAAAUCAAUAUUCUGCUAUUUUUGUUUACUUCCCUUAACACACAUCACCGCCUCCCCACCCCCAACACACACACACUUUUUUGUUUUUGAGACGGAGUCUCGCUCUGUCACCGAGGCUGGGGUGUAGUGGCGCCAUCUCGGCUCACUGCAAGCUCCGCCUCCUGGGUUCAUGCCAUUCUUCUGUCUCGGCCUCCCAGCCUCCAGAGUAGCUGGGACUUCAGGUGUCCUACUUUUUUUUUUUUUUUUUUUUGGCUGAAGUACCAUAAAGGAAAUUUCAAACAUUGUAUCAUUUACCUGUGAAUAAAUCUGUAUGUACCUCCAAUAGAUAGACUAAAAAAACACAACCUUAUCACCACAACACAAUUAGCCAUUGUUUCUUAAUAUCAUAGGAGGCCUCUUCCAUGCCGAAUGCUCCAUGUGUUCUUAAAGUCGUGUUCUUUUGAUGAGAUUCUUCACAUAAGAGUUUACAGUUACCACAUUGUGUUUGGUUAAUCCAUUUUUUAUCUACUAUAGUUUCUCCUCCCCUCUAUACAAAGAAUUAGGGCUAGAGGCUUGACUGGAUUCAAGUAUUUAAAUAAAAAAUAGUUUGUAAGGUGGGCACAGUGGCUCAUGCCUGUAAUCCCAGCACUUUGGGAGGCCAAGGCAGGUGGAUCGCCUGAGGUCAGGAGUUGAGACCAGCCUGGCCAAUAUGGUGAAACCCUGUCUCUAUUAAAAAUACAAAAAUUAGCCAGGUGUGGUGGCGUGCACCUGUAGUCCUGGCUACUCAAGACUGAGGCAGGAGAAUUGCUUGAACCUGGGAGGCAGAGGUUGCAGUGAGCUAAGAUCACACUAUUGCACUCCAGCCUGAGUGACAGAGUGAGACUCUGUCUCAAAAAACAAAAACAAAAUACUUUGUAAAUGAAGUUGCGCACUUUCUUUAACCUCAACAUUUUGAAAAUUGUUUCAUAAAUGUCUGUUUAUUCCAGGUCGUAAUCCUUGGAUAAAACUGAUAACAUGAGGAAUGAUUUUGAGAUAAUGACAUGAGACAUAGUCCUCUAUCACAUAUCAAGGGUCACACUCCUGGAAAUCACUACCAUUGAGUAAUGAGAGAAGACCACUGAGUAUCAGAAAUAACCACCAUCAAAUCUCAUGAGGGGUUUUAGGCCAGAGAGGAGACCCCAAUUCAGGACCUACUUUAUCUUGUUUUACACAGAAGUUUAAGAGCCUUCAGUUCAUUUUGACAACCUGUAGAAAAUAAGAAACAAUCAGCACUUUGGGAGGCCAAAGCAGGUGGAUCAUGGGGUCGAGAUGGAGACCAUCCUGGCCAACAUGGUGAAACACCAUCUCUACUAAAAAUACAAAAAUUAGCUGGGCAUGGAGGCGCACACCUGUAGCCUUAGCUAUUUGGGAGGCUGAGGCAGGAGAAUCACUUGAACCCGGGAGGUGGAGGAGGUUGCAGUGAGCCAAGAUUGUGCCACUGCACUCUAACCUGGUGCUAGAGUGAGACUCCGUCUCCCCACCUCCAAAAAAAAAAAAAAAAGAUGUCUGAAAACAUAAAAAUUGAUGGAUGACAGCUACAUGUUCAGGCAGAACACAGAAGAAAAUUGAGAAGCAAAGGCAAGAAAUAAGGCACAGAAUCCAGAAUAAGUUGAUAUGGAUGUCAAGAAUCUUCCUCUUUGUGAAUAUAACAUGCUUGUCUAGUUACUUGAUCUAAUUUGAUGAUUACAGCAACCUUAUGAGGUAGGUACUGUUAUGUUCUGUAUCUUUCAAGUAAAGAAACAUUAAUACGUGUUCCCAAAGUGGCUCAGCUGGGGAGAAAUCACAAGGAAUGUUGACCAAUUUCUCCAUGGUCAAGUACUCGUGGACACUGAGAGAAGAGUGGUUGAGACUCUUCAACUCCUGUCUAAGUAGGCGAGAAACCAUGUGGUCCAUUUUGAAAAGACUUACACAUGAAAUGGGAAAAAUAAAAAGCUUCUAAUUACUUUAAAUGGCUUCAAGUUUCUAGAAAACUUAUAUACACUGACGUACAGGUAUGAACAUUUCGAAGUUGGUACUCUUAAAACAUUUUACAAACCAGAAAGACGGAGGUGUUACUGCAGUAGUUAAAUUAAUGAAUUGGUUUAUCUUGAAGUAUUACCUGGAAACCCUUCAGUGAUAUUGAUGUUUCCCAUUCCCUCUGUUAGCCUGGACUUUUUCUAUGGCUUAUUUUUUUCUAUAGUUCUCUAGAUUUUUCUAUGAGGCACUUGACUGCCACAGCUAGGAAACUCUUAAGAAUCUAAUUUUCUGCCCUUCCUCCUCUGUAACUAAAGACUGGAUCAGUUAGGACUGGGUUUCACUAUCACAUCUUGUAGGUGACCAUGACUAUUCGAGAAAUGACCUCUUCAUUUGCCUGCUUCUACCAAAAAAAAAAAAUUGGAACCACUAGAUUGGAUAAAUUCUACAUGA
ensembl:lincRNA